GACGAAGGGGGCUAGCGUUGCUCGGAAUCACUGGGCGUAAAGGGUGCGUAGGCGGGUCUUUAAGUCAGGGGUGAAAUCCUGGAGCUCAACUCCAGAACUGCCUUUGAUACUGAGGAUCUUGAGUCCGGGAGAGGUGAGUGGAACUGCGAGUGUAGAGGUGAAAUUCGUAGAUAUUCGCAAGAACACCAGUGGCGAAGGCGGCUCACUGGCCCGGUACUGACGCUGAGGCACGAAGGCGUGGGGAGCAAACAGG
rnacentral:rRNA from 1 species